GAUGAACGCUGGCGGCGUGCCUAAUACAUGCAAGUCGAGCGAACAGACGAGGAGCUUGCUCCUCUGACGUUAGCGGCGGACGGGUGAGUAACACGUGGAUAACCUACCUAUAAGACUUGGAUAACUUCGGGAAACCGGAGCUAAUACCGGAUAAUAUAUUGAACCGCAUGGUUCAAUAGUGAAAGACGGUUUUGCUGUCACUUAUAGAUGGAUCCGCGCCGCAUUAGCUAGUUGGUAAGGUAACGGCUUACCAAGGCAACGAUGCGUAGCCGACCUGAGAGGGUGAUCGGCCACACUGGAACUGAGACACGGUCCAGACUCCUACGGGAGGCAGCAGUAGGGAAUCUUCCGCAAUGGGCGAAAGACUGACGGAGCAACGCCGCGUGAGUGAUGAAGGUCUUCGGAUCGUAAAACUCUGUUAUUAGGGAAGAAAAAAUGUGUAAGUAAAUAUGCACGUAUUGACGGUACCUAAUAAGAAAGCAACGGCUAACUACGUG
rnacentral:rRNA from 1 species